AGAGAAAGGAGAUUUUAACUCCCACCCUUAACUCCCAAAGCUAAGAUUCUAAAUUAAACUACCCUCUGACC
rnacentral:tRNA from 1 species